ensembl:lncRNA
UGUUAUAAAUUUCUGUUGUAGCUGAAAAAAAAAAAAAAAAAAAAAUGUAGGAAAAAAAAAAGGGAAAAAAAAAAAAGCGAAAAAAAAAAAAAAAAAGAAGGGAAAAAAAAAGGGAAAAAAAAAAAAAAAGGGGUAGAACAGGAUAAGGCAUAAUUUAUUCUCUUUUUAAAAUUACUAUGAAAUAAUAAAGUUGAUACAUUUUAUUUACACAUAGUUGAACGUCGUAAUGUGCAAGUUGUGGUCUCUUUUCAUUUUUACAAUUGUGAAUUAUUAACUAUAUUUUUUUUAUGACACAUAAAAAUACGAUACUAUUCUCACGAUUUGUUAAUUUUAUUUGUACAUCCUUUUAUUAAUGCAUACUUUUGUUAGUAUAUUAUUUUUGUCCCCACUAUAAGAACAAUUAAUUAUUUUAUUUUAUUUUUUUUUUUUUUUUUGUUUUAUACAUUAAUAAGUCAUUAUUUAAAAAAAAAAAAAAAAAGUAAAACCACAAUAUUGUUUAACUAAACCUUGAAAUUAGCACCAGUAUUAUAUAUUAAGUUUGACGUUUGUUUUGUCUGAUUAUUGUUUUGACCUGAUAAGCUAUAAAGAAUAACAUAGUAAGAUAUAAAAUACCAGUUUUAACAUACUGUCAUGCAUUUAUGUGCCUAUAUAUACAUUCAUGGAUUCAUACAUUCAUACAUUUAUGCAUUUAUAUAUAAAACCGCUGUCUCACAUAUAUAAAUAUAUUUAUGUAUACGUGUCGGUCCAAUUACCACUGUUUAAAAUAAAAAGUAAGAAAUAAAAAAAAAAAAAAAAUGGAUGACACAAACGAAAGUAUUUCAAAUGAUAAAGGGCUAAAUAUGAAGAUUAUCCAGUUUAUAUUAAAAAAGUCAGAAGAGUUAGAGAAAGAACAUUUGUUAGUUUCAUUUCUAUGCACACUCUACAUUGUCGAGCAGUUAAGCGAGUAUAUGAAAAAGAGCAAGGUAGAUACAGAGACGAAACAAAUUUUAAUAAAAUGUUUAGAUAAAGCGGAGAAAACUAGACCUUUAUUUGAUAAGCUGGAUUAUAAUAAGUUAGCUGUUUUUUGCGAAGGCCUAUUUGCAGCAGCUGAUAAAAAUGAUCGCACCAAUAAAAUAGAUAAAAGAACAUUAAGGAUGUUUUUUUCAUGUAAAAUUUUUUAUGAAAUAUUAAAUCAUUUUAGAACAUUAAAUGAAGAAGAAAAAAAAAAAUUGAUAUAUGCGAAAUAUAAAACUGUAUAUAUUCAAAAGUGUUUUGAAAAUAAUAUAGAGCCAAAGCCAGGUUCUCCAGUACGAGAAACAAAAGAAAAGUCCAGUUCAGAUUCAGAAAAAAAUAGAUAAAUCAAAUGUUAAUGAAAUAGAAAUGCCAAGGAUAUACGAUAAUAUUUGGAAUGAUGAUUAUAACACAUAUAAAAUCGAACAAAAUAAUUUUACAAAGGACCAAUAUGAAAUUACACCAAGUUAAAACAAUAUAUGUGUAUAUAUCUAUAUAUAUGUGUAAAUGUACUUAUACGUGUAUACACAUAUGUUCGUUUUUUUUUUUUUUUUUUUUUUUAUUGUCUUAACAGGUAGUAAUAAAAUUAGUGACAAACAAAUAGAUUUUACGUUA